GGAUGUUUGGGGAGUCAUAGCGCACACAGGGUUUUUGGCAGUGCCAGCAGUUUUUCAGUGCCCUGCGCUGGCAGCAAAAUGCGACUGUGAAGCCAGGGGGACAGAGGACGGGCCAGGGUUGGGCCAGGGAGACUUGAGGCCCGAAGGGCAAGAAACCAAGUCCAGACUGGAGGGAAGGGGUCUGGGGUAGCAGGGUAGGCACAGCGUGAGCAGGAGAGGUCUGAGGGCACAGAAUCUGGCAGACCAGGGCAGGCUUCAAGAGCCCAGCCUGGCCCCAGGCACUUCCGGGAGCCUCGGUCAUAUCUAGCCAACUUCGGCGUGGACCUGGCUGGAGGAGGUGUCAGGUCCCUGGCACUGUGAGGAUUACGAGACCCUACAGCAGUUAAUGAUUCCUGAGGCUGGACCCCUGCCCCUCUGGACUUCUCUCCCAGCCAGGCUGCUCCAACCCCUCUGUGCCUCGGUGUGCCAGCCUGCCCAGGCCUGCCUUGGAUCCUUUCUGCAGGAGCCUCCCUCCACCUCCGCCUGCCACCACGAGCCCUGGACUAGCACUCAGCUCAGAUCCAGCCCCUUUCCCAGGGCAGACAGCCCACUGCGCCCUGGUGCAGGCCCCAGGCCCCAGGCUGGGCUGGGUCCCAAGGCUCUCUCUAACCUCCGGUCUCCCGGGAUGUGGGCUCUGGGAAGCUGGUGGCCACAAAGGGCAGAGACUCUGUCUCUUGUGAAGCCUGUGAUCCCCAAACAUUCUACCUCCUCUCGCCAAGGCCCCUGUGGGCUCUGGCAGCAGGGGAGUACAGGGUCCUUCGUGGCCCUGCGCUUGAGGAACUGUGUCCUGAGGACCUGCGGGAGAUGGGCAGGUUUUCUCCCCCUUUCCUGGGCAGAGUUCUUCAGGGCUUCAUCCCUACCCACCAGGCUGAGUGACUCAUGGCUGGGGCAGAGUGGAGGUCGAGGCAGAGAGCACUUGAGAAGGGUGCAGGUGAUGGUUCCCCAGCUUCCAGGGGCUGUGCUCAGCAGCGAGACUGGAAGCAACAACAGGAGCUCAUACUCCCUCUCCCUGGCUGCUGCGCAGGAGGCAGACUGAGUCACCAGCCCGCCCCAGAGCCAGCCGGGGGUGGGAGGUGCCCUCAAGGCUAGGGGAAGAACUGGUGGAAGACAAGGCAGAGGGUGCUGGGGGAACCCUGAGGGGGGUGGGUGGGGACAGAGGCCUUCUAAUGGAUUCUGUGCUGUGGUGGGCAAAUGAGGAGCUGCAGUUCACUCUGAUCUUGUUUCUAGGACACCCAACCUCUCCCCUGUGCUAGGGGCAGUCAAGGAACUCUGGCUGGACAAGGAGCUCCCAGAGCAGCAGGCACUCGGGCAGAGGCUGUCCUGGAUCUGCACUGGGCUUCAGAACGGGAAGGGGAGCAUGCCCUGAGAAUUGGGGAGACGUGGUGAAAGCCUGGGUCCCUCACUGAUCAGGAACACGCAGAUCCAGAGACCCACUUCCCACUCAGAGCCCUCAAAGGCCUGGCAAAGCCAACUGCAGUACAUUUGGGGUUAAAGGGGGACUUUCUGUAAUCCCAGCACUUGAGAGGCUGGGGCAGGAGGACCACAAGUUAGAGUCUAGCCUGGACAAAUUAGUGACUUAGCGAGAUCCUGUCUCUAAAUAAAAAACAUAAAAGUGCUGGGGAUGUAUUCCAGGGCAAAGGCCCUGGGUUCAAUUCUCAGUACCAAAAAAAAGUAUGUGUGUGACUCUCUACAGCCUUGAAAACUGACUGCUCCAGGGUCAGUGGGCCCCAAAAGCCAAAGGCUCUUUCUAGGGAGGGUUGAGCCCCACCCUGGCCCACCUGGGAAAGCACCCCAAUCUCUGAACCAGAACUUCUGGACUGCGGGGUCUGGCAGUCAGGCUCUCCAGUUACUAAGGGACAUGCAAGUGGACGCUGGUUCACCCACUGGCGGUGGGUGGGUCUGUGUGGCAUGGGGGUGGGAGGUGUCCUCUGGUAGGGACCAGGACCCCAGACCUUGUGAGUUGUGCUGUGAAGGGGAAUCGGGGUAAGCUCCAUCCUGGGAUUCGGGCAACAAAGGGACAGAGAGACCCAGGAGGGCAGCAGGUGGCAGAGGGUGCUGUGGUCGACACACCACCAGCCCUCCCUACAGCCCAUCUCCUCAAUCCCCUGGCUGAGGCCAACGACGAGGACAUGAGGGGACUAAUUUAGGAGUAUUUUUAAAACUGUGGCCCUGGUGGAGGGGUUUAGCAGUUGUCAGCCAUCUGGAAUAAGGAAUUACAACCACCUCCCUAAUCCUAUAUCCCUAAACCCUAAAGCUGGUUACAGGGGAGGAGCGGCAGCAAGUGGGUGGGGGUUGGGGUCUGUUCCAGAAAGGGGCAAAGCCCAGGGAUGCGCCACUCUGCCCAUGGGUCCCACCAGAGGGUGCCCCGGGCCGGGCUGCAGGCUGCAGAGCCCAACGUGCUCAGAGCCCACUCAGCUCCCCCACCCGCUCACGCACGCUCACUCCCCAGGCCGCACUGGCUCGCACAGGGGCCGUCAGGUAAAUUAGAUCUGAAAGCUGACAAUUUCUGACCAUAUUUCCUUGAUUAUUUCAAACAAAUGCACAGCAGCCGCUGUAAGGAGAUUAAAGUGACAUAAACGUCCCGGAGUGGGAGGGGGAGGGCAGAGGAUUCAGGUCACCCCCAUCCGUCCCCCUACUGACAGACGCUAUAUCGCUAUCC
rnacentral:lncRNA from 1 species